AUUGAACGCUGGCGGCAUGCCUUACACAUGCAAGUCGAACGGUAACAGGCCGCAAGGUGCUGACGAGUGGCGAACGGGUGAGUAAUGCAUCGGAACGUGCCCAGACGUGGGGGAUAACCCAGCGAAAGCUGUGCUAAUACCGCAUACGAUCUAUGGAUGAAAGCGGGGGACCGUAAGGCCUCGCGCGAUUGGAGCGGCCGAUGUCAGAUUAGGUAGUUGGUGGGGUACAGGCCUACCAAGCCGACGAUCUGUAGCUGGUCUGAGAGGACGACCAGCCACACUGGGACUGAGACACAGCCCAGACUCCUACGGGAGGCAGCAGUGGGGAAUUUUGGACAAUUGGCGCAAGCCUGAUCCAGCAAUGCCGCGUGCAGGAAGAAGGCCUUCGGGUUGUAAACUGCUUUUGUACGGAACGAAACGGCCUGGGUUAAUACCCUGGGCUAAUGACGGUACCGUAAGAAUAAGCACCGGCUAACUACGUGCCAGCCGCCGCUGUAAGAC
rnacentral:rRNA from 1 species